rnacentral:rRNA from 1 species
GACGAACGCUGGCGGCGUGCCUAAUACAUGCAAGUAGAACGCACAGUUUAUACCGUAGCUUGCUACACCAUAAACUGUGAGUUGCGAACGGGUGAGUAACGCGUAGGUAACCUGCCUGGUAGCGGGGGAUAACUAUUGGAAACGAUAGCUAAUACCGCAUAAUAUUAAUUAUUGCAUGAUAAUUGAUUGAAAGCUGCAAUUGCAUCACUACCAGAUGGACCUGCGUUGUAUUAGCUAGUAGGUGAGGUAACGGCUCACCUAGGCGACGAUACAUAGCCGACCUGAGAGGGUGAACGGCCACACUGGGACUGAGACACGGCCCAGACUCCUACGGGAGGCAGCAGUAGGGAAUCUUCGGCAAUGGACGAAAGUCUGACCGAGCAACGCCGCGUGAGGGAAGAAGGGUUUCGGAUCGGAAAGCUCUGUUGUAAGAGAAGAACGGGUGUGAGAGUGGAAAGUUCACACUGUGACGGUAUCUUACCAGAAAGGGACGGCUAACUACGUG